rnacentral:piRNA from 1 species
UAAGGAUUUGGGCUUGCUUUAGGUGAUC